GAUGAACGCUGGCGGCGUGCCUAACACAUGCAAGUCGAGCGGAGAUAAGAGGAGUACUUGUACGAAUUUUAUCUUAGCGGCGGACGGGUGAGUAACACGUGAGUAACCUGCCUUUUACUGGGGAAUAACAUCGAGAAAUCGGUGCUAAUACCGCAUAAUGUCACGAGGCUGCAUGGCCAUGUGACCAAAGGAGCAAUUCGGUAAAAGCUGGACUAGCGUCCGAUUAGGUAGUUGGUGAGGUAACGGCCCACCAAGCCUACGAUCGGUAGCCGAACUGAGAGGUUGAUCGGCCACAUUGGGACUGAGACACGGCCCAGACUCCUACGGGAGGCAGCAGUGGGGAAUAUUGGGCAAUGGGGGAAACCCUGACCCAGCAACGCCGCGUGAAGGAUGAAGGUCUUCGGAUUGUAAACUUCUUUGAUCAGGGACGAAGAAAUGACGGUACCUGAAGAACAAGCCACGGCUAACUACGUGCCAGCAGCCGCAGUAA
rnacentral:rRNA from 1 species